AAGGUAGCGAAAUUCCUUGUCGGGUAAGUUCCGACCUGCACGAAUGGCGUAAUGAUGGCCAGGCUGUCUCCACCCGAGACUCAGUGAAAUUGAACUCGCUGUGAAGAUGCAGUGUACCCGCGGCAAGACGGAAAGACCCCGUGAACCUUUACUAUAGCUUGACACUGAACAUUGAGCCUUGAUGUGUAGGAAAGGUGGGAGGCUUUGAAGCGUGGACGCCAGUCUGCGUGGAGCCAACCUUGAAAUACCACCCUUUAAUGUUUGAUGUUCUAACGUAGGCCCCUGACCGGGGUUGCGGACAGUGUCUGGUGGGUAGUUUGACUGGGGCGGUCUCCUCCCAAAGAGUAACGGAGGAGCACGAAGGUUAGCUAAUCCUGGUCGGACAUCAGGAGGUUAGUGCAAUGGCAUAAGCUAGCUUGACUGCGAGCGUGACGGCGCGAGCAGGUGCGAAAGCAGGUCAUAGUGAUCCGGUGGUUCUGAAUGGAAGGGCCAUCGCUCAACGGAUAAAAGGUACUCCGGGGAUAACAGGCUGAUACCGCCCAAGAGUUCAUAUCGACGGCGGUGUUUGGCACCUCGAUGUCGGCUCAUCACAUCCUGGGGCUGAAGUAGGUCCCAAGGGUAUGGCUGUUCGCCAUUUAAAGUGGUACGCGAGCUGGGUUUAGAACGUCGUGAGACAGUUCGGUCCCUAUCUGCCGUGGGCGCUGGAGAAUUGAGGGGGGCUGCUCCUAGUACGAGACGACCGGAGUGGACGCAUCACUGGUGUUCGGGUUGUCAUGCCAAUGGCACUGCCCGGUAGCUAAAUGCGGAAGAGAUAAGUGCUGAAAGCAUCUAAGCACGAAACUUGCCCCGAGAUGAGUUCUCCCUGAGACUUUAAGUCUCCUGAAGGAACGUUGAAGACGACGACGUUGAUAGGCCGGGUGUGUAAGCGCAGCGAUGCGUUGAGCUAACCGGUACUAAUGAACCGUGAGG
rnacentral:rRNA from 1 species